UUUUCAGAACCAAAGCACUUAAAGAUUUCAUCCACAAUGAUAUUCACACGAUUCUGCCAAAAUAUCCUUGUCAAUGUCUUUGAACUCGUUGAAGGAGCUAGAAACUCCAAGAUUUCAUCUGCAAUAAUCUUCACUCGAUCUUACCAAAAUUUCCUUGGAUAAGAAACUCUUUUCUCUUCAUUGGAUGUCAAUCUUUAGAAAAUGCAAUCACAUUCUGAUUCUUCAAAUUGAAAAACAACAAUCAUCACAAGAACAUUAGAACACCUAACGAAUCCUUU
rnacentral:lncRNA from 1 species